rnacentral:rRNA from 1 species
UACAGAGGGGGCAAGCGUUGUUCGGAAUUACUGGGCGUAAAGGGCGCGUAGGCGGCCUUCUAAGUCAUGCGUGAAAUCCCCGGGCUCAACCCGGGAACUGCGUCUGAUACUGGAAGGCUUGAAUCCGGGAGAGGGAUGUGGAAUUCCCAGUGUAGCGGUGAAAUGCGUAGAUAUUGGGAGGAACACCAGUGGCGAAGGCGACUACCUGGCCUGUUCUUGACGCUGAGGCGCGAAAGCUAGGGGAGCAAACGGG